rnacentral:rRNA from 1 species
UACGAAGGGGGCUAGCGUUGCUCGGAAUCACUGGGCGUAAAGCGCACGUAGGCGGAUUGUUAAGUCAGGGGUGAAAUCCUGGAGCUCAACUCCAGAACUGCCUUUGAUACUGGCGAUCUUGAGUCCGGGAGAGGUGAGUGGAACUGCGAGUGUAGAGGUGAAAUUCGUAGAUAUUCGCAAGAACACCAGUGGCGAAGGCGGACUCACUGGCCCGGUACUGACGCUGAGGUG